UGUAAGGCCCAGUUUCUUCAUCAAAGUGGCCCGGACCGUGCGUGAAAAUGGCCCAGCCAUUUUAGUGCUUAGUAAGACCACCGAACGGCGUCGUUUUGGGAAGUGACGAGACGGAUAGAGACCGUAUUCAAGUCAUAGAUUAUACACUGCAGGAGUCAGAUGAUGUGGUGAGUCCAAAUGAGGACCUGGAUUAGAAUGUUGUUUGUGUUUAAGCUAAGGAUAUGUUGGUAGAAGAAGGACUUCUGGUGUUCUUAGUUUUAAUGUCUUUGAAUUUUAUUUAUGUCUUGAGUUUAGUAAGAUUUAUGAAAUAUUUAGUUGGUUUGUUAUGACUACCGAGAGGU